rnacentral:rRNA from 1 species
GAUUUGAUCGUGGCUCAGAGCGAACGUUAGCGGCGGGCCUAACACAUGCAAGUCGAGCGAGAAAGGGACUUCGGUCCUGAGUAAAGCGGCGGACGGGUGAAUAUCGCGUAGGUAAUCUGCCCUUCAGCGGGGGAUAACGGUCCGAAAGGACCGCUAAUACCGCGUACGUGCCACGAGGCCUCGGUCUUGUGGCGGAAAGCUAGGUAGCAAUAUCUGGCGCUGGAGGAGGAGCCUGCGUCGCAUCAGCUAGUUGGUGGGGUAACGGCCUACCAAGGCGAAGACGCGUAGCUGGUCUGAGAGGAUGAUCAGCCACACUGGGACUGAGACACGGCCCAGACUCCUACGGGAGGCAGCAGUGGGGGAAUAUUGGACAAUGGGCGCAAGCCUGAUCCAGCCACGCCGCGUGAGUGAUGAAGGCCUUCGGUCGUAAGACUCUGUGGGUAGGGACGGAACCGGACCGGUCGGUUAAG